ACAAUUGUUUUCUUUUCUUUUUUUUCCUUUUUUUUUUUCUCCUCUUCGUCAUUAACCUCCCACCAGCAAUAGAAGAUCUCUUCUUGUCCCUCUCUAUACCCAUAUCACGAGAUCUCAUGACCAGCAAUCUGAAUUUGAAUAAGUCGUCAAGUUUUGUCGAUUGUACCUUCCGAUGAGGAUGCGAUCCAAUACAAAGUUGUUGCUCUCUUCGUUAUUAACUCGUUCUAGAAGGUUUCAAUCGAUCUAGGGAUUGAAAAGGUAAGACUAAUUUUACGUCUACUUUCUAGGAUCUAGAUCUGUUGCCCUCUAUCCCAGAAUCCUAACUCCUCCCGAAGAUCCAUAAUUGAAGAUGAAAAAAGAAAUCCGGCGACAGAAAAAGAGUGCUAAAGGAGACGAAGGCGGUGUCGCAAGUAGAGUUCUUCCCUUCCACCUAGUUGAAAAUCUGGUUGGUUUGAAGAUCAUUUUUGAGGAAUUAAAUGGCCAAGAGGCCGACAUACUAGCAGCUGGCAACGGUGGCUUGUCGACAACGGAAUCUGGUUGCGGCUGCGUGUGAUUAGGGUUUUUUUGUUUGUUUAUUUUAUGUCCGGUUCAAUCAACAUUUUGUAACCAGUUCAAUUCUGUAACUCUUAACCAAUUCCCGGUUUGGGUGGUUUAUUAAUAUUAGUUUUUUUUUUAAUA